AACGAACGUUGGCGGCGUGCCUAACACAUGCAAGUCGAACGCGGGACUUCGGUCCUGAGUGGCGCACGGGUGAGUAACACGUGAGUAACCUGCCCUGAAGACGGGGAUAACUGGCCGAAAGGUCAGCUAAUACCCGAUAAUCUCCUUGAUGCGAUGGUAUUGAGGGGCAAAGGAAUUUCGCUUCAGGAUGGGCUCGCGUCCCAUUAGGUAGUUGGUGAGGUAACGGCUCACCAAGCCCGAGAUGGGUAGCUGGUCUAAGAGGAUGAUCAGCCACACUGGAACUGAGACACGGUCCAG
rnacentral:rRNA from 1 species